rnacentral:rRNA from 1 species
UACGUAGGGGGCAAGCGUUGUCCGGAAUCACUGGGCUUAAAGGGCGCGUAGGCGGUCGACCAAGUCUGGGGUGAAAUCUUUCGGCUUAACCGGAAAAGUGCCCCCGAUACUGGCCGGCUAGAGGGAGAUAGGGGCAUGCGGAACUUCCGGUGGAGCGGUGAAAUGCGUAGAUAUCGGAAGGAACGCCGGUGGCGAAAGCGGCGUGCUGGAUCUCUUCUGACGCUGAGGCGCGAAAGCCAGGGGAGCAAACGGG